rnacentral:misc_RNA from 1 species
GAUGAAGAACGCAGCGAAAUGCGAUAAGUAAUGUGAAUUGCAGAAUUCAGUGAAUCAUCGAAUCUUUGAACGCACAUUGCGCCCGCUAGUAUUCUGGCGGGCAUGCCUGUCCGGGCGUCAUUUCAACCCUCAAGCCCCCGGGCUUGGUGUUGGGGAUCGGCGAGCCUCCGCGCCCGCCGUCCCCUAAAUCUAGUGGCGGUCUCGCUGUAGCUUCCUCUGCGUAGUAGCACACCUCGCACUGGGAAACAGCGCGGCCACGCCGUUAAACCCCCAACUUCUGAACGUUUGACCUCGGAUCAGGUAGGAAUACCCGCUGAACUUAAGCAUAUCAAUAAGCGGAGGA